rnacentral:rRNA from 1 species
CUAUCUGGUCUGUUACUGACACUGAGGCUCGAAAGCAUGGGUAGCGAACAGGAUUAGAUACCCUGGUAGUCCAYGCCGUAAACGAUGARURCUARGUGUUGGRGGGUUUCCGCCCUUCAGUGCYGCAGCUAACGCAUUAAGYAUUCCGCCUGGGGAGUACGACCGCAAGGUUGAAACUCAAAGGAAUUGACGGGGGCCCGCACAAGCGGUGGAGCAUGUGGUUUAAUUCGAAGCAACGCGAAGAACCUUAACAGGUCUUGACAUCYUCUGCCAACCUAAGAGAUUAGGCGUUCCCUUCGGGGACAGAAUGACAGGUGGUGCAUGGUUGUCGUCAGCUCGUGUCGUGAGAUGUUGGGUUAAGUACCGCAACGAGCGCAACCCUUAUUAUUAGUUGCCAGCAUUAAGUUGGGCACUCUAGUGAGACUGCCGGUGAUAAACCGGAGGAAGGUGGGGAUGACGUCAAAUCAUCAUGCCCCUUAUGACCUGGGCUACACACGUGCUACAAUGGAUGGUACAACGAGUCGCGAAACCGCGAGGUCAAGCUAAUCUCUUAAAGCCAUUCUCAGUUCGGAUUGCAGGCUGCAACUCGCCUGCAUGAAGUUGGUUGGAAUCACUAGUAAUCGUGGAUCAGCAUGCCACGG